rnacentral:lncRNA from 1 species
CCAUGACGAUCUUGACGAAUCCUUGCUUCUUCUUCUCUUUCUCCUCUUCUUUCUCUCUUCUCUCAAAAAGCCCUAACUCUCACUUUUAAAAGGGAAAAAAUGAUUUAAAAUCAGUCUAACACCUCAAUAUAACCAAAAGAAAAUGGCUAGGGAAAAGACCAAAAUACCCUUACAAAUUCGGGCUAACUGCCCUGCCAACAGCC